rnacentral:rRNA from 1 species
AUUGAACGCUGGCGGCAGGCCUAACACAUGCAAGUCGAGCGGAUGAAGGGAGCUUGCUCCUGGAUUCAGCGGCGGACGGGAGAGUAAUGCCUAGGAAUCUGCCUGGUAGUGGGGGAUAACGUCCGGAAACGGGCGCUAAUACCGCAUACGUCCUGAGGGAGAAAGUGGGGGAUCUUCGGACCUCACGCUAUCAGAUGAGCCUAGGUCGGAUUAGCUAGUUGGUGGGGUAAAGGCCUACCAAGGCGACGAUCCGUAACUGGUCUGAGAGGAUGAUCAGUCACACUGGAACUGAGACACGGUCCAGACUCCUACGGGAGGCAGCAGUGGGGAAUAUUGGACAAAGGGCGAAAGCCUGAUCCAGCCAUGCCGCGUGUGUGAAGAAGGUCUUCGGAUUGUAAAGCACUUUAAGUUGGGAGGAAGGGCAGUAAGUUAAUACCUUGCUGUUUUGACGUUACCAACAGAAUAAGCACCGGCUAACUUCGUG